rnacentral:rRNA from 1 species
UACAGAGGUCUCAAGCGUUGUUCGGAUUCAUUGGGCGUAAAGGGUGCGUAGGUGGCGCGCUAAGUCAGGUGUGAAAUUUCGGAGCUUAACUCCCGAAACUGCAUUUGAUACUGGCGUGCUUGAGGACUGGAGAGGAGACUGGAAUUCACGGUGUAGCAGUGAAAUGCGCAGAUAUCAGGAGGAACACCGGUGGCGAAGGCGGCACCUGGACCGGCAUUGACGCUGAGGCGCGAAAGCCAGGGGAGCAAACGGGG